CUUCCUACGGGAGGCAGCAGUGGGGAAUCUUAGACAAUGGGCGCAAGCCUGAUCCAGCCAUGCCGCGUGAGUGAAGAAGGCCCUAGGGUUGUAAAGCUCUUUCCCCUGGGAAGAUAAUGACGGUACCCGGUAAAGAAACCCCGGCUAACUCCGUGCCAGCACCCGCGGUAAUACGGAGGGGGUUAGCGUUGUUUGGAAUUACUGGGCGUAAAGCGCGCGUAGGCGGAGCAGAAAGUGUGGGGUGAAAUCCCGGGGCUCAACCCCGGAACGGCCUCCAAAACUCCUCGUCUUGAGUUCGAGAGAGGUGAGUGGAAUUCCGAGUGUAGAGGUGAAAUUCGUAGAUAUUUGGAAGAACACCAGUGGCGAAGGCGGCUCACUGGCCCGAUACUGACGCUGAGGUGCGAAAGUGUGGGGAGCAAACAGGAUUAGAUACCCUGGUAGUCCACACCGUAAACGAUGAAUGCCAGUCGUCGGGGAGCAUGCCGCUCGGUGACACACCUAACGCACUAAGCAGACCUGCCUGGGAGUAAGACGACCG
rnacentral:rRNA from 1 species